rnacentral:ncRNA from 2 species
AACACCGAGCCGGGAGAACCGUCAUGCAGACGGUGCCGAAGGAGCAACCGCCCCGGAAACUCUCAGGCCAAAGGGACCGGCCGGUGACA